rnacentral:rRNA from 1 species
GGUUAAGCGACUAAGCGUACACGGUGGAUGCCCUGGCAGUCAGAGGCGAUGAAGGACGUGCUAAUCUGCGAUAAGCGUCGGUAAGGUGAUAUGAACCGUUAUAACCGGCGAUUUCCGAAUGGGGAAACCCAGUGUGAUUCGUCACACUAUCAUUAACUGAAUCCAUAGGUUAAUGAGGCGAACCGGGGGAACUGAAACAUCUAAGUACCCCGAGGAAAAGAAAUCAACCGAGAUUCCCCCAGUAGCGGCGAGCGAACGGGGAGGAGCCCAGAGCCUGAAUCAGUGUGUGUGUUAGUGGAAGCGUCUGGAAAGGCGCGCGAUACAGGGUGACAGCCCCGUACACAAAAAUGCACAUGCUGUGAGCUCGAUGAGUAGGGCGGGACACGUGGUAUCCUGUCUGAAUAUGGGGGGACCAUCCUCCAAGGCUAAAUACUCCUGACUGACCGAUAGUGAACCAGUACCGUGAGGGAAAGGCGAAAAGAACCCCGGCGAGGGGAGUGAAAAAGAACCUGAAACCGUGUACGUACAAGCAGUGGGAGCCUCUUUUAUGGGGUGACUGCGUACCUUUUGUAUAAUGGGUCAGCGACUUAUAUUCUGUAGCAAGGUUAACCGAAUAGGGGAGCCGAAGGGAAACCGAGUCUUAACUGGGCGUUAAGUUGCAGGGUAUAGACCCGAAACCCGGUGAUCUAGCCAUGGGCAGGUUGAAGGUUGGGUAACACUAACUGGAGGACCGAACCGACUAAUGUUGAAAAAUUAGCGGAUGACUUGUGGCUGGGGGUGAAAGGCCAAUCAAACCGGGAGAUAGCUGGUUCUCCCCGAAAGCUAUUUAGGUAGCGCCUCGUGAAUUCAUCUCCGGGGGUAGAGCACUGUUUCGGCAAGGGGGUCAUCCCGACUUACCAACCCGAUGCAAACUGCGAAUACCGGAGAAUGUUAUCACGGGAGACACACGGCGGGUGCUAACGUCCGUCGUGAAGAGGGAAACAACCCAGACCGCCAGCUAAGGUCCCAAAGUCAUGGUUAAGUGGGAAACGAUGUGGGAAGGCCCAGACAGCCAGGAUGUUGGCUUAGAAGCAGCCAUCAUUUAAAGAAAGCGUAAUAGCUCACUGGUCGAGUCGGCCUGCGCGGAAGAUGUAACGGGGCUAAACCAUGCACCGAAGCUGCGGCAGCGACGCUUAUGCGUUGUUGGGUAGGGGAGCGUUCUGUAAGCCUGUGAAGGUGUGCUGUGAGGCAUGCUGGAGGUAUCAGAAGUGCGAAUGCUGACAUAAGUAACGAUAAAGCGGGUGAAAAGCCCGCUCGCCGGAAGACCAAGGGUUCCUGUCCAACGUUAAUCGGGGCAGGGUGAGUCGACCCCUAAGGCGAGGCCGAAAGGCGUAGUCGAUGGGAAACAGGUUAAUAUUCCUGUACUUGGUGUUACUGCGAAGGGGGGACGGAGAAGGCUAUGUUGGCCGGGCGACGGUUGUCCCGGUUUAAGCGUGUAGGCUGGUUUUCCAGGCAAAUCCGGAAAAUCAAGGCUGAGGCGUGAUGACGAGGCACUACGGUGCUGAAGCAACAAAUGCCCUGCUUCCAGGAAAAGCCUCUAAGCAUCAGGUAACAUCAAAUCGUACCCCAAACCGACACAGGUGGUCAGGUAGAGAAUACCAAGGCGCUUGAGAGAACUCGGGUGAAGGAACUAGGCAAAAUGGUGCCGUAACUUCGGGAGAAGGCACGCUGAUAUGUAGGUGAAGCGACUUGCUCGUGGAGCUGAAAUCAGUCGAAGAUACCAGCUGGCUGCAACUGUUUAUUAAAAACACAGCACUGUGCAAACACGAAAGUGGACGUAUACGGUGUGACGCCUGCCCGGUGCCGGAAGGUUAAUUGAUGGGGUCAGCGCAAGCGAAGCUCUUGAUCGAAGCCCCGGUAAACGGCGGCCGUAACUAUAACGGUCCUAAGGUAGCGAAAUUCCUUGUCGGGUAAGUUCCGACCUGCACGAAUGGCGUAAUGAUGGCCAGGCUGUCUCCACCCGAGACUCAGUGAAAUUGAACUCGCUGUGAAGAUGCAGUGUACCCGCGGCAAGACGGAAAGACCCCGUGAACCUUUACUAUAGCUUGACACUGAACAUUGAGCCUUGAUGUGUAGGAUAGGUGGGAGGCUUUGAAGUGUGGACGCCAGUCUGCAUGGAGCCGACCUUGAAAUACCACCCUUUAAUGUUUGAUGUUCUAACGUUGACCCGUAAUCCGGGUUGCGGACAGUGUCUGGUGGGUAGUUUGACUGGGGCGGUCUCCUCCUAAAGAGUAACGGAGGAGCACGAAGGUUGGCUAAUCCUGGUCGGACAUCAGGAGGUUAGUGCAAUGGCAUAAGCCAGCUUGACUGCGAGCGUGACGGCGCGAGCAGGUGCGAAAGCAGGUCAUAGUGAUCCGGUGGUUCUGAAUGGAAGGGCCAUCGCUCAACGGAUAAAAGGUACUCCGGGGAUAACAGGCUGAUACCGCCCAAGAGUUCAUAUCGACGGCGGUGUUUGGCACCUCGAUGUCGGCUCAUCACAUCCUGGGGCUGAAGUAGGUCCCAAGGGUAUGGCUGUUCGCCAUUUAAAGUGGUACGCGAGCUGGGUUUAGAACGUCGUGAGACAGUUCGGUCCCUAUCUGCCGUGGGCGCUGGAGAACUGAGGGGGGCUGCUCCUAGUACGAGAGGACCGGAGUGGACGCAUCACUGGUGUUCGGGUUGUCAUGCCAAUGGCACUGCCCGGUAGCUAAAUGCGGAAGAGAUAAGUGCUGAAAGCAUCUAAGCACGAAACUUGCCCCGAGAUGAGUUCUCCCUGACUCCUUGAGAGUCCUGAAGGAACGUUGAAGACGACGACGUUGAUAGGCCGGGUGUGUAAGCGCAGCGAUGCGUUGAGCUAACCGGUACUAAUGAACCGUGAGGCUUAACCUU